UACGUAGGAGGCGAGCGUUGUCCGGAGUUACUGGGCGUAAAGGGUGCGCAGGCGGUGGUGCGCGUGGAUAGAUGAAAUCUCCUGGCUUACCUGGGAGAGUGGUAUCCAGACGGCAUCACUUGAGGGUCGGAGAGGGGCGUGGAAUUCCGGGUGGAGCGGUGAAAUGCGUAGAGAUCCGGAGGAACACCGACGGCGUAGGCAGCGCCCUGGACGACACCUGACGCUGAGGCACGAAAGCGUGGGGAGCAAACAGG
rnacentral:rRNA from 1 species